GACGAACGCUGGCGGCGUGGAUUAGGCAUGCAAGUCGAACGGUAUCAUCCUUUCGGGGGUGAGAGAGUGGCGAACUGGUGAGUAACACGUAGGUUAUCUACCCUCAAGACGGGGACAACCCAGGGAAACUUGGGCUAAUACCGGAUGUGAGCAACUUUUAGUUGUUUGAAAGGUGGCGUAAGCUGUCGCUUGGGGAUGAGCCUGCGUCCUAUUAGUUAGUUGGUGAGGUAACGGCUCACCUAGGCAAUGAUAGGUAGGCGGCCUUAACGGGUGGUCGCCCACACUGGGAUUGAGAUACGGCCCAGACUCCUACGGGAGGCAGCAGGUCGAGAAUAGUCUACAAUGGUCGGAAGACUGAUAGUGCGACGCCGCGUGAACGAUGAAUCCCUUCGGGGUGUAAAGUUCUUUUAUAUGUGAGCAGUGCUUCUUAUAUUAACAGUAUGGGGAGAGAGAUAUUAGCAUAUGAAUAAGCAACGGCUAAACUCCGUGCCAGCAGCCGCGG
rnacentral:rRNA from 1 species